rnacentral:antisense_RNA from 1 species
AUGAAGGAUGUUAGAGCCUGGGAUGCUGAGGCAGGAUAAUUGUUAGUUACCUGGAAAAGUCUACUACCUAAAAGCACUGUUCAAAGAAAUGGACCAUAAUUGCAACAAAACAUUUAGAACAGGAUUUUAAAGUUCCAAUUCAAGCCAAAUAAAAUGAAAAGUAUGGAAAUAAACAUUCAAGAUCCCAAUGGACAAGCCUCAGGAAGAAGCAAAAAAAAAAAAAAAAAAAAAAUGGUUUCAUGGAAGAGGGGUAGAUUGCUCCAACAGAAAAGGGAGGUCCUGACAGCUGAGGCUGGAAUACAGUAAGAACAAGCUUUGUCUACUUCAGAGGGUUGCCUGGAGCUGGCCUCAAGCACUCGGAUACCAACAUCA